UUAACUCAAAUUUUUAUGGAGUUGGAACGUUCGCCUACGUUUGCCGCUAGGGGCGCUGUUCCAACUGCAUACUUUGAGUUA
rnacentral:pre_miRNA from 1 species